rnacentral:rRNA from 1 species
GCUUAACCGGAGAAGUGCAUCGGAAACUGGAUAACUUGAGUGCAGAAGAGGGUAGUGGAACUCCAUGUGUAGCGGUGGAAUGCGUAGAUAUAUGGAAGAACACCAGUGGCGAAGGCGGCUACCUGGUCUGCAACUGACGCUGAGACUCGAAAGCAUGGGUAGCGAACAGGAUUAGAUACCCUGGUAGUCCAUGCCGUAAACGAUGAGUGCUAGGUGUUGGAGGGUUUCCGCCCUUCAGUGCCGGAGCUAACGCAUUAAGCACUCCGCCUGGGGAGUACGACCGCAAGGUUGAAACUCGAAGGAAUUGACGGGGGCCCGCACAAGCGGUGGAGCAUGUGGUUUAAUUCGAAGCUACGCGAAGAACCUUACCAGGUCUUGACAUCUUGCGCCAACCCUAGAGAUAGGGCGUUUCCUUCGGGAACGCAAUGACAGGUGGUGCAUGGUCGUCGUCAGCUCGUGUCGUGAGAUGUUGGGUUAAGUCCCGCAACGAGCGCAACCCUUGUUACUAGUUGCCAGCAUUAAGUUGGGCACUCUAGUGAGACUGCCGGUGUCAAACCGGAGGAAGGUGGGGACGACGUCAGAUCAUCAUGCCCCUUAUGACCUGGGCUACACACGUGCUACAAUGGACGGUACAACG